CAAAUCCUUGUACUUUGGAGUUAAAAAAAAUUAUUCUAGCUUUUCCAACAGUAGAGACAUUAGGAAGGCCAACUUUGGUGGGCAGAUUGGGGAUUUUCCUUUGCUUCUGAUGACUCUCUUGUGCCCUUUCUCCUCUCAGGUGCCAGAUCGGCUAGGGAUACUCACUCACCUGUAUAGGGACUUUGAUAAAUGCAGGUUUGCUGGGUUUUGCCGGAAAAUUGCAGAAGGUGCUCAGCAGGGAGACCCCCUUUCCCGCUAUAUCUUCAGGAAGGCUGGGGAGAUGCUGGGCAGACACAUCGUAGCAGUGUUGCCCGAGAUUGACCCGGUCUUGUUCCAGGGCGAGAUUGGACUCCCCAUCCUGUGCGUGGGCUCUGUGUGGAAGAGCUGGGAGCUGCUGAAGGAAGGUUUUCUUUUGGCGCUGACCCAGGGCAGAGAGAUCCA
rnacentral:sRNA from 1 species